AACCAUGCGCAGACCUCUACAUUGCAAAACACAUUGAGAAAUACAGAAUGACUGGAUAAGAUGAUUCCAUCUCCAUCCUUAUAAAGAGAUGGGUAACUCACGACUGCUCAGCAGAGACGUCCACAUCACCUCUAGAUCUCACAGUGCUCACUUUGCUGUCUGUGACACCAGUUUUUUUUUUGGUUCUGACAAACAAGCUGUGGAAAGAAUGAAGUGUGUUAUGAUCUUCCUGCUGUUGACGCUCUCCAAUGUCGUCCUCAUGGAUGAAACCGAGGAGAGUCGUCCUCGACGUAUAAGACUCCCAUACCGUAAGUCACAAGUGAUCAUACAAACUGAAUUAAUGUUAACAGACUGACCUUUGAUUUACACAAACAGCAGGCUACUUUAGUCUGAGAUCAACAAAUCACACCUGACUGUACUAACUUACUACAUACAACUUCAUUUAGUUCUGUGUUUAUCCAAAAUCUUUAUUUAUUCCUGGUAUCUCAGAUAAUAAACCUUAAAUUAAGUAAAGAGAGCAUCAUUAAUGUUCUAAAUGCAAAGAUUUUCAAAUGUGAUAAUAAUAUACUGAUGUUUAUUGAACUCAUUGUCAUGUUUUUCUUCCCUUUAAUACUUGGAGGUAUAAGGUAAGUUUUACUGAACAUUUUCUGUUGAUUUCAAAAAGACAAAUAAAGUAAAACAAAUAGACUUUGUGAAAUGUCUCAAACCUAUCAAACACAGCAAGCAUCAGUAUUAACCAGAUCCCAAGUUGAUGUCUUCAAGUACCUUACUUUGUCCAAACCAUUUAAAUUCAAGAUGAUAUAAUAGAGGGUAAAGAAGCAAGUCAACACCUUUCAGAAGCUGAAAUCAGUGAAUUUCUCUCAUUUUUUAAAUUAAAAUAUUAUUGCAAAAAUAUCAUGUCAUUACAAUAUUUGUUGAUUAAGAUUCUGUUGAUCGACCUCUGUUGAUAAUCAAACAAACUGAUUCCCCUCUUUUGUUCCCCCUUCUCUAACUAGGUAUCUUAAAACACCCCAAGAUGAAGUGGCCGCAGACAGACUGAGGCAAUACUAUGAAGACUGAGUCUGUUCUUAAUUUUGAAGAUAUAGUUUGAGCUGUAUCUUUGUGCUUUGCAAAGCAAGAAAUAAUUGGAUGAAUAAACAUGAAGUUCUUAAGAUGUAGUGAUUUUAGUCACAGCUCCAAUUGAUGUUGAAAAAAGUCAAACUGCUUGAUAGUGAAAACUGUCCUGCUGAAUAAAGCUGCAUUACAAAAGACCGUCUCUGUGUUGUGGUGUUAUUUAAGUGAACAUGUGCUUGUAAUUUUAUUGGUGAUGACAUUAAUUGACGCUGAAUGUGCAUCCUCGAUGGCUUG
rnacentral:lncRNA from 1 species